rnacentral:misc_RNA from 1 species
GUUAAGUUACUCUCCUGAAUCCUCACCUGAGCCACUCCUAAUUUUCACCAUCCAUUUCUUCUUUUUAACCGCGAUUCAAACAGUACGGUGGGGGGUGAGACGUCAGUGUCCAUGUUCUGCCGACUGCCAAUCUAAUCAAAACUAAUUAAAUAUUUUCAAAGUAUUUAUUAGAUUAACCUCCAAGGAAAACAACAUUCCUGUCCUUUCACCCUAUACUACACGCAAUUAUCUAUUAAUCAACUCCAAAUCAGACGGAUUAGAAAAAUUUUUUACACCUACCUCCAACCCAACUUCAGAAAUUCAAAUCACAGGGUCAGUAAAGUGCCGCUAUCAUGGAUUAAACCGCAGAUUUUCCAACUAACCACUUCAUUUCACCUUCUCCGCCACUUUACACUGGAACAGCAAUCGCCCAUAUAUACUGCCAAUCCAUAUCCUAUACGUUCGUUCACAGCUACAUUUUGGAGCAAAUUCUGGGCUCGUUCUUCAGCGAAAACCAGAUUCCGAUAGAUCUGGUUUUCCAGCACGCCACUUGCAUUGAAAUUUGAAAUGCUCAUUGAUUUCGCUGCUUAAAUCUGCUGGAUUGUUUUCCUAGUAUUAGUGCUUGCAGCUGGGGCCCAAAGAAUGGCGAUCUCUAGUCCUAUUACUCCUGGU